rnacentral:lncRNA from 1 species
CGUGGAGACUGUGUAUAGUCCAUAUGGGGUUCCUUGUGGGGUAAGUAGGCAGGUCUUAUACCAAUAUGAGUUAGUAGUUGUGUUACGUCCCUUUAUAAAAACAUCUCGGUGUUAUGGAAACAUCAUAAAGGGUUCAAUAGACGAAGAAAUUGACGAUAAAUCAUUGAAAUAGAUUUAUAAAACACAUUUUAGCUAACAAGUUGUUAUUGUUUGCAUUUGUUUUUGCAUAGACUAACGAAAGUAGGUUCUUAGUACUAACUGUAUAGAAUACUUGAUCACUUUGAUAGGCCACUAGUCUUAAUACCACAUGUUAAGAUAGUCGGUAAGAUAAAUUUACAAGACCUAUAACUUUUCUAAAAGCUAAGGAUUUUCUCAACCCAGGCAUAGAUUACUUUAGCCGUAUUCGGCACAACUAUUUGGAAUUUUGGGUCCUCAAUAGAUGUAGACGAAACGCGCGUCUAGCGUACUGAAUUAUAAUCCUGGUACCUUUGAUAACUAUUUGCACUUAGCAAAAAAAUGGUUCGGUUAUGAAAAGAAAGACGUAUGUUACGGUAGUUUGUUAGGCAAUACAUUCAUGUUAAUCGCCUUAUUUCAUAAUUCGCUUAAUCUUAAGUCUUUUAAAAUAUAAACAAAAACUUUAGUCCAAUUUAUUCAUAUCUAUUACACAGCAACGUUCACAAUCGUUAGGCAGCAACCAUUUGAUUGUCUGGGGGGGGGGGCUAUGUUUUUUUUCUGGACGCAUUUUUUUUUAAAAACAAUCUAUUUUUUUCGCGACAAGUUAAAAACAAUUUUUUUUCUUUUUCAAUUUUAGCAUUACAUAUAGUGGCAGCUGAGGGUGAAACAAACCCCCCCCCCCAGAAAAUCAAAUGGUUGCUGCCUUACUCUGUCUCCAGUGUUGAUCAACAAUAAUGACAUUUCCAAACAGCUAUAUUAUUAGUGACAUAGGGUGCUAGUGACUUAAUACGAUAUAUAGGAGGUCAAUAAAUUCCAUAGGGAGUCGGAGAACAAUGCUCGAAUCCCCAUAUGGCAUUUGCUGAUCCCAUAUAUAUCGUAUUACGUCAAUAGCACAUUAUGUUACUAAUCGUUAUCAAAGGUACCAGGAUUAUAAUUCAGUACGCUAGACGCGCGUUUCGUCUACAUAAGACUCAUCAGUGACGCUCAUAUCAAAAUAUUUAUAAAACCAAACACGUACAAAGUUGAAGAGCAUUGAGGAUCCGUUGAAAAACGUGUUAUGUUUGUUUUUUAUUUAAUUUUAAAACUUUGACAUUUAUCAUGUUAUUAAAUUUAUAUUAUUUAUAUCACAAUUAACCACAAAAGUCUGUAACUUUAAUUUAUAUAGAUCUUGGUUUACUAAUUAAUGUCUAGUUAAACACUGGACGUGUUAUUUAGUAAAAUACUAAAUUUAGAAAUGUACUAGUUACCUAAAAUUCCCUUGGUAGUUAAUUUAAAAAAAGCCAAUAGACAUCAUCUUCUGUUCAGUGCUUCAAUGCCUUGAUCAUUAUCAUGGCUAUGAUUGUGCAGGUAAUAUGGUCGGGAGAUAAAAGGUAUAAGAACAGGAAUAAAGUCAAAGCUAUCUGUUGUGUAUGCAUUUCUGGUGGACUUCUAAUCUCAUACAUAUAUGCAUUUCGCAAAUGAAUCAUUUUUGGUUUUUGAACUGGUUCUGUUUUUUUUUUGUAAAUGUUUGUUUGUCUUGAGAUUGUAACAGAGUGAUGACUGCUGUAACCAUAUUUUGACUAUUUUACCGUCUGUUUUGUUCACGCAUCGUUGUAAAAAAAACCGGAAUUUGAUGCAACUGUCAUAAAAGUGAGAGAUUUAGCGCUAUAAAACCAGGUUCAAUCCACCAUUUUCUACAUUUGAAAAUGCAUGUACCAAGUCAGGAAUAUGACAGUUGUUGUCCAUUUGUUUGAUGUGUUUUAUCUUUUGAUUUUGUCAUUUGAUUCCUUAUACCGCUGUUUAAUACUAGUACCUAUAAAUCGAUCCCAACUAAAACCGAGGGAAACAAUUCAACUAUAACAGAAAAACAAGAGGACAAUAGAAACACUGAACUGCAAGAAAAACAAACGCAAACAUACAUAGAAACGGACAACUAGAUAACUGCCAUAUUCAUGACUUGGCACAGGUCAUUUUAUGGAAAAAAAUGGUGAGUUGAACCUGGUUUUAUAGCUAGCAAAAAUUUUCGCCUAUAUAUGGAAAUGUAAAAAAAAAACCAGCAAGAAUGAUAACAUUUCGUUAAAAGGAUACAUUAAAAAUAAACGCAAGAACACUCAGGACAGAGAAAUACAUGAAUAGAUAUUACCAUACUACAUAACAACAGAAUAACAACAAACACCUCUCAUGAAAUGUAACAGUGUCAUGUGUAUUGUAAAUAUUCAAUGUGCUUUGCGAUUGUUAUUUGAGGUAACAGAUCCUUACAAUAAAAUAGGGAAAGGCUUUAAAAGAGUAACUCUAGUUGAGAACGUUGGUAGACUACAGACUGAAGAAGCGUAGAUCGACAGGCAGACAUGCAUAUGUGAACUGUUACACAUUGAAGUUAAAGUAAAACAAAACAUGUGAAGAACAAACAAAAGCAGAAAAUUUACAGAACUAAGUUCGGACAUUCAAAUCCCGACCAUAUCCUUAGCGAACCGAAAUUAAGAUUUACAUACCCGUUUGCAGGAUAGUUUUGGUAUUUCACUUGGUAUAUGUGAGCUGUGUAACGAAUUGUUCAUAUAAUUUAGGUUUUACACAGUAAACAAACCAUCCAUUUUUUUUUCUAUUGUGACAAUACUGAAUAUGACCUAUGACCGUCUGUUUACUAUAUUGGUGGAAAACAGCGUAACUGUUAUGUUUCGUCUACAAAAAAAUCAUCAGUGACACUCGAAUAAAAGUUAAGAUGUAAAAUAAAGUACGAAGAGCAUUAUGGACUUUAAAUUCCGAAAGUAAUUUUUUCUUGUUGUUUUUCCUUUUUUUUUCGUGACCUGAAGAGUAUAAACAAUCUGCAUGCAGUAUGAUCAAUAUGUAAAUCAAGGGCUAAUAUUUGAUUUCGAAAUUUGAUGAUAAAUGAUAAAUGAAAAGUAUUUGAUAGGGAUAGAGAUCUUGCAAAACAAACCUACGCAUGUUGGAGGAGAAUCAAUACCCUGGGACUAAACUUACUAAUUCUAUUCAGAGGUUGUCUCCACUUGUUAUCUUGAGUCCUCCCCCCCCCCCCACACACACGAAAGAGCUAUCUAAGAGAUUUUUUAAAUAUUCCGUAUGUAUAUGUCUCGUUCAAUAUAUAAGAUCAGAUGAAGAUUCAUUAACUAUUUUUCAAACAUUUUAUUGACUUUCAACAAUCUGUAUUCUAUUGUAUAAUUUACCUAUAUCUUAUUUAAAAACUUCUGUAACAUUAAGGAAAUAGACAAGAAAAAUGACUAACGCUGUCAAAUUGAUACAUGAUAAUUUUAGUAUUUGAUUGACGUCUUUACAUAAAUACCUUUUCAGUACAAAUAAGUAAAUUUUGUUUUUGUCAAUGGCUAUGACCCAUAUAUGUCUUUUUAAGUCUUCGUUCCAUAUUCAUUCAUUAUUUCUUACUAUUCUUACAAAUAUAAACUUGGCACUGCUAGAGUUUUGGAUUAUUUCUUCUAUUAAGAAACAUGACUUAUUAAAAAAUAAGCCUUAUUUACAAUAAACCAAUGGGCGGAGUAACUCCCAAGUACAGUUAGGUAAAAGAAAUAGGACUAUAAGAGGUAAAUCAUGGAGAGGAUAUUGACAUUUCGAUUGUUCCGAUAUAGCCGGUAAGUUGCUUUUUUUCACUCAUGCAUUUUUGUAAAUUAUAUAUUUUUUAGAACUUCCUUCUUUUUUGUUUCACUAACUAUGCCAGAAUCUUAAAGAUGAUCAAAGAGUCCUGAUGACAUAAGUCACAUAUUUGUAGCAAUUCGUUAAUUAAACAUGAGGUAUGAUUUCCGUUUAGACAACGUGUGUUUCUGAAGUAACCUUCAUCCGCUCACUAAAAAAUAACCUUUAAAAAACCGCUAGAGAGCAAACCAUUUACAACAGUACAACCAAAACAUCAGACCUGCCUGAAAGGAAUUUGAAUUACCAAAAGCACAAUUAAAAAUGAAUAUAUAUAUAUUAAUGAACUGAAAUUUACAGACAAUUAUCACACAUAUAUUAAUCCUUGAGGACAUGCUUAAAUAAAAGAGUAAAAGUAUACACUUACAACGCAAUGUUUUAAUAAAAUUUCGCCAUGGCAAACUUUUUAUUACCUUAACUCCUGUUGUCUAACCUGUCUAGAUACCAUCGUAUAGUUCAAUAUGAGUGGCCUUAAACUCGAUUAAAAAUUACUUUUUUUCAGAACAAAACAUAAUGAAUAAUUCAUUAAUAGUUCCAUGGAAAUUAGUGUUGGUGCUAUUGAUCAUGUGUGGUGGAAGUUUUUCUUGCAAACGAAAAUUUAUCAGAGAAGUCAUAGAAAGAGAAAAUUGUCUCAGAAAAGCAGUUCUGAACUUUAUUUGCAUCGGGAGUUGUCAUCAAAGAGAGAGUGAGCAUUCUCAAUGCAGUAUCACAAUCAUAAGACAGAAAACAGUACGUCUGUGGUGUACCAAUGAACAUGGGAGCAUUGUUAGAAAAAAUGUAACUAUACCUAUUCCAGCAUCGUGCUCAUGCACACAAAGGUCUUUGGAUUAUGUAUACAUGCCAUUAACGAGAUAACAAUGAUAUUCAAAUUGUAACAAUAUAAAUCAUAUUCCCUUGUGCCAAAUACAAAGAAUACCAGGAGCGUUGCAAUAUUCAUUUAUUUAUUUAUUUGACAUCAAAACAAUCACCAUUUUCAAUUCAUUUAUUCAUAUUAUGUGACAAUUAACUUAUUCAUAAGUAGUAACAUAUCAAAACAGUGGUGUGACAAUUAACUUAUUCAUAAGUAGUAACAUAUCAAAACAGUGGACUACAAUCAAUUAAGCUCGGAGCUACCAUACCGUUACAGAAGUAACAAACAUUACAGUCAUUUGAAAAAUCAUAGUCAGAUUUGUUCUAACAGACAAGUCGGGUUGUACUGUUGUGAAGUUGUAAAAGAAAAGUUGAAUGAAAAGGGUGGAGUCAGCAC